UACGUAGGGGGCAAGCGUUGUCCGGAAUCAUUGGGCGUAAAGAGCGUGUAGGCGGCUUGGUAAGUCCGCUGUGAAAGUCCAGGGCUCAACCCUGGAAUGCCGGUGGAAACUGUCAAGCUUGAGUCCGGAAGAGGCGAGUGGAAUUCCUGGUGUAGCGGUGAAAUGCGCAGAUAUCGGGAGGAACACCUGUGGCGAAGGCGGCCCCCUGGUUGGAUACUGACGCUGAUACGCGAAAGCGUGGGGAGCAAACAGG
rnacentral:rRNA from 1 species